AUUGAACGCUGGCGGCAGGCCUAACACAUGCAAGUCGAACGGUAACAGGAAGAAGCUUGCUUCUUUGCUGACGAGUGGCGGACGGGUGAUUAAUGUCUGGGAAACUUCCUGAUGGAGGGGGAUAACUACUGGAAACGGUAGCUAAUACCGCAUAACGUCGCAGGACCAAAGGGGGGUACCUUCGGGCCGUUUGCCAUCGGGUGUGCCCAGAUGGGAUUAGCUAGUAGGUGGGGUAACGGCUCACCUAGGCGACGAUCCCUAGCUGGUCUGAGAGGAUGACCAGCCACACUGGAACUGAGACACGGUCCAGACUCCUACGGGAGGCAGCAGUGGGGAAUAUUGCACAAUGGGCGCAAGCCUGAUGCAGCAAUGCCGCGUGUAUGAAGAAGGCCUUCGGGUUGUAAAGUACUUUCAGCGGGGAGGAAGGCAGUAACGUUAAUACGUUUGCUCAUUGACGUUACCCGAAGAAGAAGCACCGGCUAACUCCGUG
rnacentral:rRNA from 1 species